AGGACGAACGCUGACGGCAUGCCUAACACAUGCAAGUCGAACGGAGUAAUGACUUCGGUUAUUACUAGUGGCGAACGGGUGAGUAACACGUGAAUAAUCUGCCCUGUACGAGGUGGGAUAACAGCUGGAAACGGCUGCUAAUACCGUAUAUGACCACGCCGAGGCAUCUCGGAGGGGUGAAAGCGCUUAAGCGGUACAGGAUGAGUUCGCGUCCAAUUAGCUAGUUGGUGAGGUAACGGCCCACCAAGGCGACGAUUGGUAGCCGACCUGAGAGGGUGAUCGGCCACACUGGAACUGAGACACGGUCCAGACUCCUACGGGAGGCAGCAGUGGGGAAUAUUGGGCAAUGGAGGAAACUCUUACCCAAGCAAUGCCGCGUGAGUGAUGAAGGUCUUCGGAUUGUAAAGCUCUUUGAUUGGGGACGAAUAAAUGACGGUACCCAAGGAACAAGCCCCGGCUAACUAUGUGCCAGCCGCGGC
rnacentral:rRNA from 1 species